rnacentral:lncRNA from 1 species
UGAACAAGAGAUCCUCGUCGCUCAUAUUGUCAAUUUGUAGCAUCAAGUUGGAGAAUGCCUUGAUGUACUCCUUGAUUGAAUGGCCCUGCUUGAGGUCCCUCAUUUUCGCCCUUGCUUCGCGGCUUACGUGCACCGGGUAGAACUCUGCCUUGAGUUCUUUCUUGAGGGCUUCCCAACUGUCAAUAACGAUUAGCCCUUUGUCCAUGUCGGCUCGUUUUCUUCGCCACCAAAGUGCAGCCAUGUCGGUGAAAUGUAAAGUGGCAGUAUGUACCUGGGCCAACCCUGUUAAGUUGAGCGCCUCGAAGUAGCACUCCAUGUGCACUUAACUUGGCUCCAUCAACGUCCUGCCGCAAAUGUGACAAGGCUUGGUACACCUUGGCUUGAAACAAACAGUUCUCAUUGGCUAAUUCUGCCCCUGCAGCGUCAAUUCUCUCUUGGAAAGUGUCCAACGAGGUAUCGACCUUCUCGACGUACUCUUCUACGGUUUACUCCGUGCGAUCCAACCUUUCUUUUGUAUCCGCCAUAGCUAUCUCAAGUUUAGCUAACCGAGCUUCAAAACUAGCAAGAUAGUCACGAGAUUUACCUCCCUUAUGUGGUGGUGCAUUGGCUAAUUCUGCCCCUGCAGCGUCAAUUCUCUCUUGGAAAGUGUCCAACGAGGUAUCGACCUUCUCGACGUACUCUUCUACGGUUUACUCCGUGCGAUCCAACCUUUCUUUUGUAUCCGCCAUAGCUAUCUCAAGUUUAGCUAACCGAGCUUCAAAACUAGCA